rnacentral:misc_RNA from 1 species
UAUCCGCGUUGUUGGUCACGGACGGUUACAGAUUGUUACAGAAUCGCGCAAAUGGCGGGGUUUUGAGCCCAGCGUGUAACAAUCUGAAAUAUUCCGUUACUUAAUAAGGCCCAGUCCGAUGAUCCCGACCAGGAUCAGAUAGAUCGCCACAAUGAAAUUCAGCAGCCGCGCCAUGACGAGAAUCAGCACACCGGCGAUGAGAGCAACGAUGGGCUGAAUGUUGGCGACGCUGACGGACAUUUCGGUCUCCCGCACGGAAGGAAAA